rnacentral:rRNA from 1 species
CCUACGGGGCGCAGCAGUGGGGAAUAUUGCACAAUGGGGGGAACCCUGAUGCAGCAAUGCCGCGUGGGUGAAGAAGCACUCCGGUGCGUAAAGCUCUGUUAGCAGGGAAGAGGAAGGACGGUACCUGCAGAGGAAGCCACGGCUAACUACGUGCCAGCAGCCGCGGUAAUACGUAGGUGGCAAGCGUUGUUCGGAAUAACUGGGCGUAAAGGAUGCGUAGGCGGUUAAACAAGUUUUUUGGUAAAU